GAUGAAGAACGUAGCGAAACGCGAUAAGUAAUGUGAAUUGCAGAAUCCAGUGAAUCAUCGAAUCUUUGAACGCACAUUGCGCCCGCCAGCAUUCUUGCGGGCAUGCCUGUUCGAGCGUCAUUUCAACCCUCGACCUCCCCUUGGGGAGGUCGGCGUUGGGGACCGGCAGCACACCGCCGGCCCUGAAAUGGAGUGGCGGCCCGUCCGCGGCGACCUCUGCGCAGUAAUACAGCUCGCACCGGGACCCCGACGCGGCCACGCCGUAAAACACCCAACUUCUGAACGUUGACCUCGAAUCAGGUAGGACUACCCGCUGAACUUAAGCAUAUCAAUAAGCGGAGGA
rnacentral:misc_RNA from 1 species